rnacentral:rRNA from 1 species
AGCAGCCGCGGUAAUUCCAGCUCCAAUAGCGUAUAUUAAAGUUGUUGCAGUUAAAAAGCUCGUAGUUGAAUUUCGGGAUCAAUGUGUUGGUCGUGCCUUGGUACGUACUGGCAUUAUCGAUUCCUACCUUCUGAAGAACCUCGAUGUCAUUAAUUUGGUGUCUUGGGGAAUCAGGACUGUUACUUUGAAAAAAUUAGAGUGUUUAAAGCAGGCUCGCGCUUGAAUACAUUAGCAUGGAAUAAUGAAAUAGGACGUUUGAUUCUAUUUUGUUGGUUUCUAGGAUCGACGUAAUGAUUAAUAGGGAUAGUUGGGGGCAUUAGUAUUCAAUUGUCAGAGGUGAAAUUCUUGGAUUUAUUGAAGACUAACUACUGCGAAAGCAUUUGCCAAGGAUGUUUUCAUUAAUCAAGAACGAAAGUUAGGGGAUCGAAGACGAUCAGAUACCGUCGUAGUCUUAACCAUAAACUAUGCCGACUAGGGAUCGGAUGAUGUUAAUUUUUUAAUGACUCAUUCGGCGCCUUACG